CACGGGGGGAGCAAGCGUUGUUCGGAAUCACUGGGCGUAAAGGGCGUGUAGGCGGUCAGGUAAGUGAGACGUGAAAUGCCCCCGGCUUACCCGGGGACCUGCGUCUCAUACUGCUUGGCUUGAGUACGGGAGAGGGUGUGGGAAUUCCUGGUGUAGCGGUGAAAUGCGUAGAUAUCAGGAGGAACACCGGUGGCGAAGGCGCACACCUGGCCCGAUACUGACGCUGAGGCGCGAAAGCUAGGGGAGCAAACGGG
rnacentral:rRNA from 1 species